GACGAACGCUGGCGGCGUGCUUAACACAUGCAAGUCGAACGGAAAGGCCUUUUCGGAGGUACUCGAGUGGCGAACGGGUGAGUAACACGUGGGUGAUCUGCCCUGCACUCUGGGAUAAGCCUGGGAAACUGGGUCUAAUACCGGAUAGGACCGCACUUUAGUGUGUGUGGUGGAAAGUUUUUUCGGUGUAGGAUGAGCCCGCGGCCUAUCAGCUUGUUGGUGGGGUAAUGGCCUACCAAGGCGGCGACGGGUAGCCGGACUGAGAGGUUGGUCGGCCACAUUGGGACUGAGAUACGGCCCAGACUCCUACGGGAGGCAGCAGUGGGGAAUAUUGCACAAUGGGCGCAAGCCUGAUGCAGCGACGCCGCGUGGGGGAGGACGGCCUUCGGGUUGUAAACGCCUUUCGCCAGGGACGAAGCGUUUUGUGACGGUACCUGGAGAAGAAGCACCGGCUAACUACGUG
rnacentral:rRNA from 1 species